UUAAAUUGAAGAGUUUGAUCAUGGCUCAGAUUGAACGCUGGCGGCAGGCCUAACACAUGCAAGUCGAACGGUAACAGGAAGCAGCUUGCUGCUUUGCUGACGAGUGGCGGACGGGUGAGUAAUGUCUGGGAAACUGCCCGAUGGAGGGGGAUAACUACUGGAAACGGUA
rnacentral:rRNA from 1 species